rnacentral:rRNA from 1 species
GCGGUUUGUCGCGUCUGCUGUGAAAGCCCGGGGCUCAACUCCGGGUGUGCAGUGGGUACGGGCAGACUAGAGUGCAGUAGGGGAGACUGGAAUUCCUGGUGUAGCGGUGAAAUGCGCAGAUAUCAGGAGGAACACCGAUGGCGAAGGCAGGUCUCUGGGCUGUUUCUGACGCUGAGAAGCGAAAGCAUGGGUAGCGAACAGGAUUAGAUACCCUGGUAGUCCAUGCCGUAAACGUUGGGCACUAGGUGUGGGGAGCGUUCCUCGUUUUCCGCGCCGUAGCUAACGCAUUAAGUGCCCCGCCUGG